rnacentral:rRNA from 1 species
GACGAACGCUGGCGGCGUGCCUAAUACAUGCAAGUCGAACGCUUCUUUCCUCCCGAGUGCUUGCACUCAAUUGGAAAGAGGAGUGGCGGACGGGUGAGUAACACUUGGGUAACCUACCCAUCAGAGGGGGAUAACACUUGGAAACAGGUGCUAAUACCGCAUAACAGUUUAUGCCGCAUGGCAUAAGAGUGAAAGGCGCUUUCGGGUGUCGCUGAUUGUUGUUCCCGCGGUGCAUUCGCUAGUUUGUGAGGUAACGGCUCACCAAGGCCACGAUGCAUAGCCGAGCUAAGAGGGUGAUCGGACACACAGAGACUGAGACACGGCCCAGACUCCUACGGGAGGAAGCAGUAGGGAAUCAUCGGCAAUGGACGAAAGUCUAACCGAGCAACGCCGCGUGAGUGAAGAAGGUUUUCGGAUCGUAAAACUCUGUUGUUAGAGAAGAACAAGGACGUUAGUAACUGAACGUCUCCUGACGGUAUCUAACCAGAAAGCCACGGCGAACUACGUG